UGCAUCAUAAACAACUACACGUGGACAGC
rnacentral:sRNA from 1 species